rnacentral:rRNA from 1 species
UACGUAGGGUGCAAGCGUUGUCCGGAAUUAUUGGGCGUAAAGAGCUCGUAGGCGGUCUGUCGCGUCGGCUGUGAAAACCCGGGGCUCAACCCCCGGGCCUGCAGUCGAUACGGGCAGACUAGAGUGCGGUAGGGGAGACUGGAAUUCCUGGUGUAGCGGUGAAAUGCGCAGAUAUCAGGAGGAACACCGGUGGCGAAGGCGGGUCUCUGGGCCGUAACUGACGCUGAGGAGCGAAAGCGUGGGGGAGCGAACAGG